ensembl:lncRNA
GUUUAGACAGUGAUGUGCACUUGGACACAGGUUUUGGAGUCUAGGACAGCAUGUCUGCUGAAGUCUGGAGCAAAAAUGAUUGAUAUUUUUUCUUUACAGAUAUUAGGAAACUAAGCAAGCACUGACAACCUGAAACCCAGAGGCUAUGGUAGGUACCAUAAUAACCCUAAAAUUAUUAGGAAAGGUAACAGCACAAAAGAAGCCGUUGGGUGCAGAAGAUGAGAUGAGCAGAACAAGCAGGAACAGUGAAACUUCAGGCACUGUGCAGUGACUGGAAUCAAAGGUAGCAGCAGGCAAUUAUAGUCUGUUAGACUAAUGCGGCCAAGACAAGAAGGAUGUGAAGUGUGUGAUCAACACAGAGGAUCAACACAAUUGAUCCUCUAAAGGGCCUUCAAUAAUAAAAGAAAACAGGGAAGUUAAACAGUGUGGGGAUAACCUGUUUGCUUCAUCACUGGUAUCUAGAGUUGUUUUUGCUAGUACAGCGUAGUCUGCCUGGCAUCUGUUUGCCACCCUAGUGAAGUGUCAGUCUGCCUUAGGUCCUGCGUCACACCUGCUAUUUCCGUGCAGAUGUCUUGGAUACCUCAGGGCCUCUCAAAUGGCACUGGGCGUCGAGCGUGGGCAGAGGAAUCCUGUCCUUUGCUGUGUGGAAGAACAUGCUCUUGAAGGGCCACAACAGCGUGGUAAUGGCUGCAGCCAAGUGUGGCAGCAGUGAGCAACAAGGAGAAAUUUUGAAAGUGAAUCUGUACACGCUUCGUGAACUGAAGACUUCCAUUGUGCCAGGUAGCUGUGAGUGAAGUUGCUGCAUGACAGAGAAUGUGAAUGAUGCCAUUAAAUUGGAGUCAGAGUUACCAUCCCUGGGCUCCUCAACUAGAACAUAUGGAACAUGCUGUUGCCUCUGUGUCUUUCCUGCACUCGGAAUGCUGGCAGACUCAUGAUGGUCUCUUUAUCAGACAGCUGGAUGAUGCCAGCACCAAGCUGGAGAUGGAAGUGCUCAGACCCUGCAGCAAUGAGACUAAUAUUAAGAGCCCUGAUAACAUCAGACACCACCCUCCAUUAUAUCACAAUUUCGUUUCCAUCUUCAUGCUCAACUUUAUUAUAAUAAAGAGCUUGUGGAGGUUCCUGACUGCUGGAAAACCAAGAUGCCAAAGAGAGCCAAAGCUAUUUGACUAUGCAUAAUGGUACGUAAUACCCAUAACCUCCUCACAGGUUUUGAUGAUUGAAUGCAAGUUCAGCCCACCCAAAGUGAUUCGUAAUGAAUUGUUGGUCCAGAGAUUGCAAGACACAGAUAUUCUCCAUCUUCUGGCUGGAGAUUCUGUAGACACACAUGUAUAAUGAGGCAUGACAGCACUGUUUGCCUGUAAUGGUAUUACCUGCUUUGGAAAUCCCUUCUCUCCUCUGUUAAAAAUCUGUCUGCUGUUGUGAGAUGCACUGCCCACAUAUGUAGCUUGAAGCAUGAAUAGAUAUGACUGAGGAAGUACUAGCUUUACAGACCUGGAAUUAAGGUAUAUGCAAAGUGAUUUCUUUGGGUUUGUGCUGGACAUAUGUGGCACAGUUAGGAACAGACCAACUCACUUAGAGUUUAAUAAUGGUCUUAACCAGAGCCCAUCCUUACCCACACGUUACCUAUUUGUUAGCAGUCUUUGUAAGAUGCUUUCAGUCCCACUGAGAAAUUCUUCCUGGAGCUUCCAGUCCUCUCUAGUGUGACAAACUGACAAUAACUACAAUGAGAUUAUUCAGAAGUUUUUUUUUUCCUUUUUGUUUCCUUCCAUUUGUUAUCUGAAAUAUCAUCAAAAAAUUAAUUUCCAUGAGACCAGGAUGGACUGGAAGUUUCAUAUGUGUCAGUACAACUUUUUAAGAAUAGCUGCACCUCAGGAGACUACUUGCUUCAGUCUGAUCAGAUGGAAUAACAGGCAGUCAACUUAGCUUGACACAAACUGUAAACUUGACUCAAAAAUUCUUGUGAAAAAGUAUGUGGUUUGUUGUUUAAGGUACAGCAAAUCUUUUUGGAGAGAUAUUCAAUCCCAAUGUAAUUGCUAUUAAAUCCUGCUCUUGGCCUGUGUGCAGCCAUACCACAGCCUCAGUGACAGGAGGUAAUCCAACUGCAAAGACUCCUUAAGCAAUUGUCCAGCCAUUCGCACCUCUGGAAUUUCAUAAUAAAUUGAAUCAACUGAGCA